rnacentral:lncRNA from 1 species
CUCUAUUUUCCCUCUGAUUAUAAAUAACUGCUUGGUCAUCUCCACGAUAUGCUAAUAUCAAGGUAUCUCCAUUCCCAGAAAGGUACAAUGGCAACAACAGUGGUAUACCCCAUUUAAUUGGAAGCUUAUGCAUUUCAAGAUUAAAGUAGUCAAUUCUAAAUAAUUGAGUCCAAGAUUCUUGAAAUCCAAACUCGCUCAUUUGCCAUAUAACAAAUUGAGUUUCCUUGAAAUCGUGCGAAAAGCAAAGCCGGUCCAAAAGAACCUGAAGAGUUGGCUGAAAGUAGGGUACCUCAUCAAAACCAGAAGGUAAACAAAAUUGCAUAUAUGUCUCAAUUGAUAGAUCAAGGGAAACCAUCUUGAAUUGAUCAACACGAGUAAUAGACUCAUAAUCAUGAAAAGGGUAAAAAUAAUUCUGAAUAGCCAACCAGUAAAUAGUGCCACUUAAAUAUGCACCAUUAUUGUAUUGAGAUGUAAGAGGAAUCAAAGGAAAACUAUUUUAUAUUUUUUUUACCCGUAAAAAUUUCCUCAGAUAAUGACAGCUACAAUAUGAACAAUACACAUUGUCCCAAUUUUUACAGAAGUAGCUAAUUUGGCAGAAGUAUGCUUAGUUCUUCAUUAUAAAUUUGAUGAAGAUAAAUAAAUAAAAAUAUUUUGAGAGAAAAGAUAUGUGAGAGAACCUUUUUUUCUAUUGCACUUGAGAAGACCUCUAGUAGGAGGUUGCUAGGAGGUAGUGUCACUAUAAGGGAAAACUAUAUCAAUUCACAAAUCAUAUUGUAUCUUAUGAUUUGACCUCUAUUAAUUUUUCAAGGUGGUAUUAGCCCCAAUCAAGAUGGAAUCACAUAUGUCAAUGAGGUUCAACUUGGAAACAAUAGAGUGACAAGCAACUGGAUUUAAGUCCUUUGUGUGUAUGUUUGAAGUUGGGCAGAAGGUGAACAAUACUAGAUUAUAUCUUAUCACGAACCAAAUGACAUCCCAACUCAAUAUGCAGAUUGACUAUCACAAUAAAUUGGGAUGGGAGGAGUAUGCAGAGAAAUAUUUCGUCUCAGACGAAGAAUGGGAAAUGACAGUUUAUUUCUUAGAUUUCCAAGAAAUAUGAGAUGAACUAAGAAGAACCGUUGAAUCAUGUGACAGACUUUUUGGAAUCUAUGCAGGCAUGCAUGCAGCCCAAUCACUAUCACUAAAAGCAGUUAAUCGAUUCUCCAUUAUAUACAAAAGAUCAAGCAUUUUUAUGUCUUCGGGAUUAGAUGGACGUAUAAGCUUCCUUACUGUAACUGUAAUGUGUGUAUAUUGAUUUCAAUGAGAGCAAAAUAAGGUAGUUUAAACAAAUCGACAGUAUGAUUACGUGAAAAUGACUAGGGAUCAAGAAAAAGAAGAUAUAAAGCUUUCAUGUAUGAUUACGUGAAGAUACCUUACAGAACAAGAUACUUUGAAUCGAAUAGAUACAUAAAAAGUGUACAAGAUUGAGAAAUCCUCCAACAACAUGAUGCUAAGAAUUCCUCUGACAUAUUUGCUGAUGGAAUAGUCCUAAAACAAGAUAAUGUCUUUGGAACAGGUGAUCAAUUACACACACAUAUAAUUAAUAUAAGCUUCUUAUAUAUAAGUGAGAUAUUAUGUAUAUGAAUUUCAAUAUAACUAAAGAUCCAUCCUCAAAAUAAAAAACAUAACUAAAGAUGCAAGUCAUAAAUUGAAACGAAAGAAAUUUAGUUGCUGGCCAUAAACAGUUCAAGUUAUCAAUCCAAAAAAAAAAAAAAAAAAAAUUGGCAAAAUGAUGAUUGCAAUUUCAUAGUACAUAAUCAAAAUCUAACAAAUGAUUCUUCCACUCUAUAUUUAAGUAACUCUCCAAUUUCACUUUAGUCCUCAUUCAAGAUAGAUUUUCCUACCAUACUUCCAUGUGCAGCCAAUGUGCUUGGAGUUGGAGCUGCAUACCUAUAAUCCAAAUAUAUACAUUCAACAAAACAUAAAAAGAAGGAAAUAUAGCAGCAUUCAACCAUGAUGCCAUUAAUCUGAGCCUGUUGUACUGACUAUAAUACCAUGGUUGUGUCAUUUAAAAAUAGAUUCUAUUGCAAUAUCAAUAUCGUUAAGUGUACGAAUAAAAUAGUUCUCACUAUCAAAAUCAACAUGGAUGUGCUUGAACUAGGGUAAACAAAAUUAGAUCAAGCAUAAUAUCCACCAUGUAUAUUUGGCAUUAGGAUCACUAUGUCUAUUCAAAAAAGGUUUUUUGGAAUCUGAGGGAGUGUUUUGCUCGCUGAGGUGGUUCAGGGCUGAUGUAUGUGUCGUGCCGUCUUUGUUUUAGUUUCAUUUGUAUUUAACAUUUUCUGUAACAUCCAAGAAGGGAUCAAUCUUCUUUUAUGAAAAUAACCUUCUAACUUGUAAUUCAUAAAAAUUUAUAUAAAAUCAAAACAAAUUCAUUCAAUCUGUAGUUUGGCAAACUAUUAACAAUGACCAAAAGAUAAUCAUUCACACAUGUUAUGUUAUCAUACAUGACAGAUUUUAAAACAACAUACCUGAAUUAGCAUAGAAUCAAUUAAAUAGUAGUAGAAGGGAACUUACGUUCAAGGAGUUGAAAUCAAACUUUCAACGUAAGCGAACCGACAUAGUUUGUAGAAAAGUCCAACUUUCUUCACUCUAUUUUCCCUUUGAUUAUAAAUAACUGCUGUUAUCACGAUUUUGGUAUCAAGUCAUUAAUUAGACUUGAACCUUUCAAUCUUUGAUAUUCUCUAUUUUUUUUUUUUGGAAGGGUAAAAUUGAGAAAACCCUUAGAAACUCUAAGUUCGGGGGUCGUUUUCGUUACGGGAAGGUGUUAAGCACCCGUAACGACUAUAGUAUUCUACAGGAUCCGCUUUCCUAACUUUAUGUCUACGCUUUACUUUUAUGCUUAUUUAUUGAAAAAGAGAGUUUAUUUAGGUUAAGGAUUUGGAAAGAAAGUGUAUGAGAUUUCAUUUUAUUGGACUUGGAGAGGUUUUGACCUCUUGCCUACAUACCCUUUUAAGGGAUCAUAAUUCCAUGUAGUUCUCUCUCAAAAAAUGGUUUUUGUGUGUUUGAUUGAUUUUAAGUUUUGAAAAUGGUUUUGAAGAAGAGAAGGAGGCCGUAAAGGCAUGAGACAAGACAAUAGUGAAUGGUUGGUUCGAUUAUUAAAGAAAGAGUGUCUAAGUAGAAAUUAAGAUUCAUUGAAGUUUUGAUUAAGAAAAUAAAGGGAAAAUACAAUGGGGUGUUGACUCCAAGGUUUAUUAGAGAAAAAAUUUGAGUUAUGGAGUUAUUUUUUGGAAAAAAAUGAUAUUUUUCUAAGUAUUGCGUUUCCUAAGCAUGCAUCUAAGCGGUAAACAUACAACGUGUGUGCGUGUCGGUGCUUGUGUCGGUGUACAUCAUUAUAGAGAGUCCAUUGUCCUUUACACUUUGCCCUAAUUUACAUGCUAUGGUCUUGCAAUAAAUUAAAAGGAAAUUAAACUACCUAGAAUUAUUACAUGUCCACUUAACAUAAAAUGAAUAGGAAUGAAAUGAUGAAAUGCUAGAAAGUGGAUGAGACAUAGAACAAAAAACGGUUAGUAAAAUAAGGCAUACAAAUAUGACAAAGAGAGCAAACAAAGGAAUAUAGGGUAAACGGUAAAAAUGACGACAAUAACCACAAUACAAAGAGAAAUGCAAUACUUGCAAGGCAAGAAAUUAACAAAUCAUGUUGAAAACAGCGAAACACACACACAAACAGUGGCAUUCUCAUCAUGAAAUUGCACAUCGGACAUUCAUACCAUAGAUCAAGAUAUCACGAACGGAAAAAACGAGAAAUUGCAUGAAAGUCAAUUAAAGAAAAGAGAAUAAUCAAGAAAGCAACACAUAUAUUUUUAUUAAUUUUAUAACAUGUAAAAUAUCACAAAAAAAAUCAAAAAUGUAUCAAGAAACACAUAGAAAAUUUUUAGGAAUUUUUAGGAGAAAAUUAGAACGAACAGUGGUUCAAACAACAAGAAAACAUGGUGUGAAUAGCAAGAAAACAGUAAAAACGCAGCUAAACCAAAGGGAACAGGCCCAAGCCCAAACCUAAGGGGUCCGGACGCACAGGAACCACAGGAUCGAUCCAGGGGAUCAAACCUUAGAUCCAACGGCCAGGAUUGAAGGGAAUUGGACCGGUCUUGGACCGGUCCGGUUCACUGGCCUAUAAAAGGGAGGAAUCGCCGGUUUAAUUCAUUUGCUAUUGCUCUUUCUCUCUCUAAGUUCUCACUUCUCUCAUCUCUCUCUAACUUCUCCGCCGGACUCAUGAAUGAAUGGCCGGAGAAGAUGAAGAUCUGGCCGGAACCUUCAUAGGUCCGCCGAAAUCUUCAUCUUCUCCAGUGAGAUCUCCAGUUUCCGGCAACCUCUAAUCUCACCAGAACUUCAAAAUUUUUACGUUUUCUUACUCGCCUUUAAACCCUAAACACGAAUCUAACACUGAUUUUCACAAAAAAGGCUUGGAACAACGUAGAUUUAGAAUUUUCAUACGGUUUUUGAAAAUUAUUAGGUUUUUUCAAUCUUUUGAAUGAAACCGUUCAAACUUCAACAGAUCUACAUUGUUUCGUCCUUGUUACUGUUCUUGAGAAAGGAAGAUGAAGUUUGAGUUUUACCUGAGUUUUUUAUCGGAGAUUUUACGAGAUUCUUCGGAAAAACUUGAUUCUUGGCUCUGCUUUGUUGAUUUUGCUUGGGAACCGAAAAUAAAUCGGUGUCUUCACCGGUUAACUUUCUUCAUUUUCCUUGCCGGUUUGAAACUCUUCUUCUUUUCCUCUUCUUCUCCCUGUGAUCGGUGCUUGAGUUUCUCACCUCCGGUGAGGAAUUCGCGCCUUGAAUUGCAGGGAUUUCAACUCAAUGAUGAAGAUUCAUCCAUGAAUCUCUGAGAAUUGAUGCAAUUUCUGAUCAAAUUUUGGUUCUGGAAAUUAGGGUUUUUGUAUUGUUCUUGGUGAUUUUUCUGUUUUGAUCCUAGCUGCCAAGAGAGAGAAUCUUUCACGUGUUUGUGAGUUGGCACUGAUUGAAUGGGUCUCCCUGAAUUUCUGACACUGUGCACUAUUUAUAAGCUGCCACUUGUAUUUGAGAUCCAAUGAAAUGGUGACACCUGGACUUGUAUGGCUCGGCCUUGGACUUGUUGUGACCUAGGGACCUUUCUGCAAAAAUGUAAAAUUGAGGACUAAACUGCAAUUAAUAAUAAUGGACUAAAAUGCAAAUUUAAAAAGUUUUGGACUAAAGUACAAUUCUGGAAACUUGCUUGAGGGACCAGAAUGCAAUUAAAAAUAAAAUUGAAUUAAAACUGGUAAAUUGGAAAAAAAAAAAGUAAAGUGAAACCUAAAAUAAAACCAACAAAAGGACUAAAAUGAACCAAUUACCACAAUGAGGUAUUUUAAAAUACCUCUCUGUCGAAAUUUUGACAGGAAAAGAUCAGAAUGCCCUUUUUGUAUGAUUUUUUGAAAUAACAUGCAAGAAAAGCAAUGCAAUGAUUCAGAGAGUUUUCAAAUGACCUGUAAUGCAAGAGAGACACUUUGGAUGAUCUUAUGCAAGAAAAACACAGGCAAAAUCAUGAUUUGAAAAUAUCUUGAGACAGAGACAGUAAGAUAUGCAGAUGAAAAUAAAGUGAAGAUUCAAAGUAACACGACAGUAAUUUGACAAUUAUCAGUGGUAGAAAAGAAAUUUGAACGAGUAUUUUUUAGGUCCAAAAUCAGGGUAUAACAACUGCUUCGUCAUCUCCACGAUAUGCUAAUAUCAAGGUAUCUCCAUUCCCAGAAAGGUACCAUGGCAACAACAAUGGAAUACCCCGUCUAAUUGAAGAAAGGAUACCCCGUCUAAUUGAAGAAAGGUUAUGCAUUUGAAGAUUAAAGUAGUCAAUUCUAAAUAAUUGAGUCCAAGAUUCUUGAAAUCCAAACUCUUCCAUUUGCCAUAUAACAAAUUGAGUUUCCUUGAAAUCGUGCGAAAAGCAAAGUCGGUCCAAAAGAACCUGAAGAGUUGGCUGAAAGCUUGGGACCUCAUCAAAACCAAAAGGCAAACAAAAUUGCAUGUAUGUCUCAGUUGAAAGGUCAAGGGAAACAAUCUUGAAUUGAUCAACAUGAGUAAUAGACUUGUGUUCAUAAAAAGGAUAAAAAUAGUUUUCAAUAGCCAACCAGUAAAUAGUGCCUCUCAAAUACACACC